GACGUAGGGCGCGAGCGUUGUCCGGAUUUAUUGGGCGUAAAGAGCUCGUAGGCGGCUUGUCGCGUCGGAUGUGAAAACCUGCAGCUCAACUGCAGGCUUGCAUCCGAUACGGGCAGGCUAGAGUUCGGUAGGGGAGACUGGAAUUCCUGGUGUAGCGGUGAAAUGCGCAGAUAUCAGGAGGAACACCGGUGGCGAAGGCGGG
rnacentral:rRNA from 1 species